rnacentral:rRNA from 1 species
CCUACGGGUGGCUGCAGUGGGGAAUAUUGGACAAUGGGCGAAAGCCUGAUCCAGCCAUGCCGCGUGUGUGAAGAAGGCCUUCGGGUUGUAAAGCACUUUCAGUGGGGAAGAAAGCCUUGGGCUAAUACCCUCGAGGAAGGACAUCACCCACAGAAGAAGCACCGGCUAACUCCGUGCCAGCAGCCGCGGUAAUACGGAGGGUGCGAGCGUUAAUCGGAAUUACUGGGCGUAAAGCGCGCGUAGGCGGUCUGAUAAGCCGGUUGUGAAAGCCCCGGGCUCAACCUGGGAACGGCAUCCGGAACUGUCAGGCUAGAGUGCAGGAGAGGAAGGUAGAAUUCCCGGUGUAGCAGUGAAAUGCGUAGAGAUCGGGAGGAAUACCAGUGGCGAAGGCGGCCUUCUGGACUGACACUGACGCUGAGGUGCGAAAGCGUGGGUAGCAAACAGGAUUAGAUACCCGAGUAGUC